ensembl:lncRNA
CCCCAUCCACUCACUGGUUAUCCCUGGGCUCCUCCCUCCCAGAGCCUAUUCUUGGUGUGCGACCCUCCAGAUUUUCCAUCAGCUGGCUCAGGAAAAGUGGAGGAAUGACAGCGCGGGCUACACACACUCUUAAUAACAUCCCACAGACUUUUUCCAAAGCCACGUACAUGUUCAAAUACAAACAUAAGCCCUCUGUCAGUCUUUUAAAUAUAAAACAUUUUGGGUUUGAGGAUUUCACCAACAGUCGUUUUUCAAGACCACCCUCCAGGCCCAGCAGGGCUGUAGUUCAGACGUGCAGAGAAGCGUCAUGAAAGUGACGUCAUUCCAGAGUUCCCGUCAUGUGGAAGCCAGAAAGGAUGUCAUACUUUUUACUCCAUUUCCCCCCUCCUGACUUUUGUCUGACUGGCACACACUCACACACUCACGUGGAGGUCAGCAAGAAACAAUAUAGAUUUAGGGGGAUGUCUGAGUGUGUGGUAAACACGUGCAGAAGGUGUGGGCUGUGAAUGUCCCAAUGACAGUGCUGGAGGAGUCACUGAGAAACACUCGCCAUGAUCUUGGCACAGAGAGCGUUGGGCCUGUGCAAAACACAUCCAGGAGAUCACCUUAAAAGGAGGGGGACUCUUCACUGUUAUCAGAAGCCAGAGGAGCUGCUUCUAUCCCAGCUGGUUCCGCCUCAUCCUACAGCCUUCCUCUGUUUUCUUUGACUAGUCACCUACUUGUAUGUGAUUUCAUUGUCUACAAUGGGUGUGCGGGUAUGUUCCUGUAGUGCCUUACUAGUGAGGACUAUUAUUCCUCCUCAAAAAGUCCUCCACAGAAGCAUAUUUAACUAUGGAAAAUACUGACAAGUGAGGACCUUUUGUACAAUUGUCACUUAUAGAAAGACUAUUUUUGGCUUAGGGGUUGGAUGUAGGGUUAGGAGUUCUGGGUUACUGUAGGAGUGUGGAUUUUUUUGAGGUUACACUAAAAGUUAGGUUCAUAAAAUCAGAUUUCUGUAUGUCAAUAAGAAAGAACUAUCAAAAACGAUUAAUUUCAGCCCUCCAAACAUAGCCUGUAUUUACCAAGGACAAUGGGAAUCAUUCACCAAUAUCUUCCUAAGUUUUUUCUUAAAUUUGUUCUUGAGAAAGGUCCUAUUAAAAGUCUAUGUCAGAUUCAUGACGUGUUCUUAAACUGCAGAAUUGUCUGCAUUUAUGUUCUUAUACUUAUGAAUCCCAUUGUCCUCAUUCAUUGAAAGCGUGUGCAAGUUGUUCCCAAUUCACAUAUGUAAAUGCCCCACCAAUCCCCAUAAAAGGGCAUGAGACUGGAGGGCCGUGUGCACAUACAGAAAUCACACACCGAAAUUCAAAAGAAAUGUUGACAGAGGUCAAGAAUGCCCAAACCAAAAUCUAAAAACUGUGGAGCACCUGAAUCCAAACGUUUAAAAAAUCUUCAGUAGUUCUGAAGUGGAGGUGCUGCUGCAGGAAAGGAACAGCAAACAAGCUGUCAUAUUCAGUAGCAUCAGUAGUGGAUAUAAAAUAACAACAAAAAAGAUGCAUGGGAUGAUUUUACUGGUUCAGUAAACACUGCAUCCUGACAAGGGUGCACAACUGAGGAUGUAAAAAAAAAUUAUAUUGCAAACAUAGAAGAAUAAUUAAAAUAAAUUCUGAAAUUUUAUUUUAAAUUCAAUCCUAUCUAUUUUACAUAACUGUAGGUUUGAAGAAAACGCAAUAACUAAUUAUUUGGCACAAACAUGUCAGCACUCAAAUGUGCGUGUGAUCUUCAGUGUGUGUAGAUUUUGUUACCUAAGAACAAAUCCCAAAUAUGAAAACAUUGGUGAUUGUCAGAAUCUUUGAGGAAACUGCAUAGGUGGGUUUUAAGAAGGAAUUUCUUCUUAAGAAUGGUUGGUGAAUGAGGCCCAUUGUCAGGGGGAGUUGAAUGUACUCAGCUAGAUCUAAAUAAACCCUCAGAGAGAUUUUACCUGAGACAAAAGCUUUAUGCUAUCAUAUAUCCUUCAGCAUGCAUCUUUUGCGUAAGUGUAGAAGCCAUUUAGGUCAAUGUACUCAAUGUACAGUCAUUGUACAGGCUUCCACUAUAUCAGAUAUACAUCACAUACUACAACAGUUUAAAUACAUAUACAGCACAAAGGAUUUUCCAUUCCUGUUGGGACACUGAAACAAACACCACUUUCAUAUAUACGCUGGGGAAAAAGCUAGAUUGCUGAAUGAGAGCAUGAUCUACAGUUACAUCAAAAAGAUUUCACUCAGUCAUUUCAGUUAUUCCAAGCCGUAAGAACAUCCUGGGAGAGAAUGCCAAUAAGCCUUAUAAAACAGGCAUUUGUGGCCAGGUAAAUAUUAAUUAAUAAAGAUGCGAUUCAGUGAACUUCUAAUCAUAUUUUUGUUAAUCACAGUUUUGUUAAUCAUGGCCCUUUUUCUUUGCAGGAUUUCUUUGUUUGAUUCCUGUGGCCACCAACAUGUAAAAUACAUGCCCACAUGACUGCACAUCUCUUUGGAUAAAAGCCUCUGUUAAAUGGUAUAUACCAUCAUUGUGUCAUUUUUCACAGACAAGAAAUUACUUUAGACAUAUUGAAUAUUUUAUUGCUGCUCAAAGUUAUAUAUCCAGUGAAGUGGAAGCUGACAAGACAACCCAGUGACUCAGGCAAGAGGCUAUGUCUAGUAGAGUGAUGGCGAAAUAGAAAAUUAUGUUUUUUCAAAAAAAGUUAAAUGUCUUGUGUAGCACUUGACUGCUGUCAAUAACGUAAGUCACUCUGGAUGAGAACGCCUGUUGACUUAAACGUAAAUGUUAAAAAAGCUUGUUAAAAAGGUGCAUGCAUCCUGUUAAAUAAAAGCCAUACACCUUUAUUGAUUGUAACAGUAAGAACCAAAACACAAGUUGAUCAGGAGAGCACACUUUUUCCAUGACUUGUGUCCUUUUGAUCUCAUCCUAAUUUUAGGAUACUGUGUCACUUGUGUCACUGUGUCACUUCCUGGCACUGCAGGUUGCCGUGCCAAUAAGAUCCAAUGCCGUCUCUCCCUCAUUUAGAGCACAAACACCUGUUUGUUGUUAUUGCCCUCACCUGUGUUCCUGAUCACUGUCCCUAUUUAAAAAAAGGACAGUCCAUUUAGAAUUUCUUCCUUUCACAGUGGCUCAGGUUCAACAAGAAACAACUUUCCACAUUUGGUAUGACUGAGACUGAGUAGUAGCAGCACCAAAAGAUUUCCAUCAAAGUAAGAACUAUAAUGAAUUUCCACUUACUACCCAACUAAAACUUAGGAUAAGUGCUUAGCUGUCAUAUAUUAAUUUUAAUUUACAGCCAGUUUAUAACUCAAUGUUACAACCACUGAUCAGGUUUUGAUGCUAAUCCUGUGGAAUCCAACAACACACAGGUUCAAUGAAUUUACUUACUUCAGAAACACUUCUGCAGGGAAACUGACGUUGUCUUGAAUUUGUAUUAAUGAAUCAAGUUUCUUCAAGAGUGUUGGAAUAUGAGAUACAAGGGCCGUUAUCUAGAUCCCUGCGAGGUUGAUAGAGUUCAGGGGCUUGGAGACAUCUUUAUUAUGGAGAUUUACCCAGCAG